AUUGAACGCUGGCGGCAGGCCUAACACAUGCAAGUCGAACGAGUGGCGGACGGGUGAGUAAUGUCUGGGAAACUGCCCGAUGGAGGGGGAUAACUACUGGAAACGGUAGCUAAUACCGCAUACCAUCGGAUGUGCCCAGAUGGGAUUAGCUAGUAGGUGGGGUAACGGCUCACCUAGGCGACGAUCCCUAGCUGGUCUGAGAGGAAGACCAGCCACACGGUAACGGAGAAACGGCCCAGACUCCUACGGGAGGCAGCAGUGGGGAAUAUUGAAAAAUGGGCGCAAGCCUGCUGCAGCCGUGCCGCGUGUAAGAAGAAGGCCUUCGGGUUGUAAAGUACUUUCAGCGGGGAGGCGUUACUCGCAGAAGAAGCACCGGCUAACUCCGUGCCAGCCGCCGCGGUAAUAC
rnacentral:rRNA from 1 species